rnacentral:snRNA from 1 species
UCUGCUCGCUUGGGCAGCAUAUGCUAAAACUAGAAUGAUACAGAGAAGAUUAGCAUGGCCCCUGCUCAUGACACACAAAUUCAUGAAGCGUUCCAUAUUUAA